GGAGCUAACGCGUUAAGUCGACCGCCUGGGGAGUACGGCCGCAAGGUUAAAACUCAAAUGAAUUGACGGGGGCCCGCACAAGCGGUGGAGCAUGUGGUUUAAUUCGAUGCAACGCGAAGAACCUUACCUACUCUUGACAUCCAGCGAACUUUCCAGAGAUGGAUUGGUGCCUUCGGGAACGCUGAGACAGGUGCUGCAUGGCUGUCGUCAGCUCGUGUUGUGAAAUGUUGGGUUAAGUCCCGCAACGAGCGCAACCCUUAUCCUUUGUUGCCAGCGAUUCGGUCGGGAACUCAAAGGAGACUGCCGGUGAUAAACCGGAGGAAGGUGGGGAUGACGUCAAGUCAUCAUGGCCCUUACGAGUAGGGCUACACACGUGCUACAAUGGCGCAUACAAAGAGAAGCGACCUCGCGAGAGCAAGCGGACCUCAUAAAGUGCGUCGUAGUCCGGAUCGGAGUCUGCAACUCGACUCCGUGAAGUCGGAAUCGCUAGUAAUCGUGGAUCAGAAUGCCACGGUGAAUACGUUCCCGGGCCUUGUACACACCGCCCGUCACACCAUGGGAGUGGGUUGCAAAAGAAGUAGGUAGCUUAACCUCCGGGAGGGCGCU
rnacentral:rRNA from 1 species